AGAGUUUGAUCCUGGCUCAGAACGAACGUUGGCGGCGCGCCUAACACAUGCAAGUCGCACGAGAAAGGGAGCAAUCCCCGGUACAGUGGCGCACGGGUGAGUAACACGUGGAUAAUCUUCCCUCGGGCGGGGGAUAACCUUCCGAAAGGAGGGCUAAUACCGCAUAAGACCACGGCUUCUACGGAAGCUGCGGUCAGAGCAGGCCUCUUCAUGAAAGCUUGCACCUGAGGAUGAGUCCGCGGCCCAUCAGCUAGUUGGUAGUGUAAUGGACUACCAAGGCUAAGACGGGUAGCUGGUCUGAGAGGAUGAUCAGCCACACUGGAACUGAGACACGGUCCAGACUCCUACGGGAGGCAGCAGUGGGGAAUCUUGCGCAAUGGGCGAAAGCCUGACGCAGCGACGCCGCGUGGGUGAUGAAGC
rnacentral:rRNA from 1 species